ACUCCUACGGGAGGCAGCAGUAGGGAAUAUUGGGCAAUGGGCGGAAGCCUGACCCAGCCAUGCCGCGUGAAGGAAGACGGCCUUCUGGGUUGUAAACUUCUUUUAUACAGGAAGAAAAAGGCCAUGCGUGGCCAAUUGACGGUACUGUAUGAAUAAGCACCGGCUAACUCCGUGCCAGCAGCCGCGGUAAUACGGAGGGUGCAAGCGUUGUCCGGAUUUAUUGGGUUUAAAGGGUGCGUAGGCGGUACGUUAAGUCAGUGGUGAAAUCCCGCAGCUCAACUGCGGAACUGCCAUUGAUACUGGCGUACUUGAGUACAGACGAGGUAGGCGGAAUUUAUGGUGUAGCGGUGAAAUGCAUAGAUACCAUAAAGAACACCGAUAGCGAAGGCAGCUUACUAGACUGUGACUGACGCUCAGGCACGAAAGCGUGGGGAGCGAACAGGAUUAGAUACCCUGGUAGCGAGUA
rnacentral:rRNA from 1 species